ensembl:lncRNA MIR325HG MIR325 host gene
AGAUUGAAGCAGCUUCAUCUCAUUCCUGGUUCAUCCUGAUUCCCUCAGUGGCUUGCUCCUGCAUUAGUAAUGUAAAACUGGCCCAAAAGGGUUUAAAAUUGUCAGAAGUUGAUCUUGAUCAGUUCAAAUAUUUUUUGACAAAGAAAAUCAGUUCUGGUCAGUUCAAAUCUAUUUUGACCAGUUUAAACCAAUUCUGCAGAACUCGAGCCUGUGGUCGGUAAACCCAGGAAGAUGGCUGAAGACUAUGCUGAUUCAAGCCAAAGCAAGGAAUCAGAGAAAGGUAAGAUUCAUUAAGACUUGGGUGAAAAGAGUUAACAUGGGCAGAAUCCUGGAAGACUUCAAGAAGAAGGUGGAAUUCAAACGGAGUCCUGAAGAAUAGGUGGUGAGGUCUCUCAACCUUCAGAUGGGUUCAGAGGUGCUGUCCAGGAUUCAGGGUCUUGCAAAGAGAUACGUAAAUAGAAUGCUCCACAAUAUGUGAAGAUAUUAGUGUCCCUUGUGAAUGCUCAACAAAGACUGACAUGAGCAGAGGAGGAUUUGAAUUAUCAGGAUGGGCCGCAAAGGAGAUUCUUCCAAGAUUUCAGAAGUUGGAAGGGAAGCAGAAUCCAUUUGAUAACACAAACACAUUGUUGCUUAUCUGUUGACUCAACUUGGGAUGAAGAAGCAGUUGAGCCAGUUGUGUGUGUAGAGCUCAAGGACAAAGGUCCUUAGCUUCUGCAGAAUACUAUCAUCACCAAGCUCACAGGCUUCUAGAGCAGACAUGUGCUUCAGUCCAUUCUGUGGGCUUCCAGCUUCUACUCUUGGAGUUCCAUCCUUUUUUAUGAUAUUACCUUUCUAACUGCAUAUGCUGUGGACUUCAAGCACUUGAAUCAGAUGUAGAGACAUUAUAUGGACUGCUUGAGUAGCCCCCACAACUGUGUAAGCCAAAUCCCUGUAACAAGUAUUUAUCCGUCCAUCCAUUCAUCUGUCUGUCUAUCUAUGAAUCUAUUGAUCUAUCUAGCUAUAUUAGUCCAUUCUUGCACUCUAUAAAGCACUACACAAGACUGGAUAAUUUAUAAAGAAAAGAGGUUUAAUUGACUCAUAGGUCCACAGGAUGUAUAGAAGGCAUGGCUGGGGAAGCCUCAGGAAAUGUACAGUCAUAGCUGAAGGUGAAGAAGAAGCAAGACAUGUCUUCACAAGGCCAACAGGAGAGAGACAGUGAGUGAAAGGGGAAGUGCUACACACUUUCAAACAGACCUCAUGAGAACUCUGUCAUGAGACUGCACUAGGGGGAUGGUGCUAAACCAUUAGAAACCAGCCCCAUGAUUCAGUCACCCCCCACCAUGCCCUACCUCCAACAAUUGGGAUCACAAUACAACAUGAGAUUUUGGUAGGAACACAGACAAACCAUAUCACUAUGUAUCUAUCUUUCACUGGUUCUACUUCUCAGGCUGGACACUGACUGAUAUAGGAGUUAUUCUGAAGCCAGGCCCUUUCCUCUGUGUACUGUCCUUUUUUUGUUCUGGGCCUGCCUUCACCCCCUCAUUUCCCCAGUGACCAUAGCCAGUAGGUGUAUUAAACAUGGUUUCAAAAAUUGCCUAUAUUUUAUGAUGCUUUGACCUUUUGGGGCCUUGAUGGAUGAGGAGAGACUUCCCUUCCCAGGGCUAGCUAAUUCCUAGAGAUAGAAAACAACUGCCAUCUGAGCACACCUGUCAUAUGCAAACAAACCAACCCAGAGCCCAUGCCUGCUAACUAUCUAAUUUAUUGAGUCACUAUCCUCCUGUCUUAGUAUUAUCCCAGGACCAGGCACUAGGCAACCAGGGGUAGUACCUACAGCUCUGAGCCUACUGACAUUGUUUAAACUACUCAAUCCUAAGUUACUUCCCUUGAACUGCCUUGUCUUUGUCAUGGAAGCCACAACAUAGUCCUGUACCUGUGCUUUCCCCUGGCUGCUUCUGCCUCCUAAUAGAACCUCGUGCUUCCUCAUGUGGCUCUGUGAGGAGCAUCGUCCCC